rnacentral:rRNA from 1 species
GAUGAACGCUAGCGGGAGGCCUAACACAUGCAAGCCGAGCGGUAUUGUUUCUUCGGAAAUGAGAGAGCGGCGUACGGGUGCGUAACACGUGUGCAACCUGCCUUUAUCUGGGGGAUAGCCUUUCGAAAGGAAGAUUAAUACUCCAUAAUAUAUUGAACGGCAUCGUUUAAUAUUUAAAGCUCCGGCGGAUAGAGAUGGGCACGCGCAAGAUUAGCUAGUUGGUGAGGUAACGGCUCACCAAGGCGAUGAUCUUUAGGGGGCCUGAGAGGGUGAUCCCCCACACUGGUACUGAGACAAGGACCAGACUCCUACGGGAGGCAGCAGUGAGGAAUAUUGGUCAAUGGGUGCAAGCCUGAACCAGCCAUCCCGCGUGAAGGACGACUGCCCUAUGGGUUGUAAACUUCUUUUGUAUAGGGAUAAACCUACCCUCGAGAGGGUAGCUGAAGGUACUAUACGAAUAAGCACCGGCUAACUCCGUG